GACAGAGGGUGCAAACGUUGCUCGGAAUCACUGGGCGUAAAGGGCGCGUAGGCGGGCAAGUAAGUCGGGCGUGAAAUCCCUAGGCUCAACCUAGGAACUGCACUCGAAACUGCAUGUCUUGAGUACCGGAGAGGAAAGCGGAAUACCUGGUGUAGAGGUGAAAUUCGUAGAUAUCAGGUGGAACACCAGUGGCGAAGGCGGCUCACUGGCUCGGUACUGACGCUGAGGUGCGAAAGCGUGGGGAGCAAACAGG
rnacentral:rRNA from 1 species